rnacentral:rRNA from 1 species
UACGUAGGGACCAAGCGUUGUUCGGAUUUACUGGGCGUAAAGGGCGCGUAGGCGGCAAUUCAAGUCAUCUGUGAAAUCUCCGGGCUUAACUCGGAACGGUCAGAUGAUACUGCUUUGCUAGAGUGCGGAAGGGGCAAUCGGAAUUCUUGGUGUAGCGGUGAAAUGCGUAGAUAUCGGGAGGAACACCAGUGGCGAAGGCGACUACCUGGCCUGUUCUUGACGCUGAGGCGCGAAAGCUAGGGGAGCAAACGGG